GACGAACGCUGGCGGCGUGCUUAACACAUGCAAGUCGAACGAUGAAGAAGAGACACGCGAACUUCGGUUCAAAUUUCACUUCGGAUUAGUGGCAGACGGGUGAGUAACGCGUGAGCAACCUACCUCUUACAAAGGGAUAGCCUCGGGAAACCGUGAUUAAUACCAUAUGACACGUUCAUAAGGCAUCUUAAGAAUGUUAAAGCUACGGCGGUAAGAGAUGGGCUCGCGUCCCAUUAGCUAGUUGGUGAGGUAACGGCCCACCAAGGCGACGAUGGGUAACCGGCCUGAGAGGGUGAACGGUCACAGUGGAACUGAGACACGGUCCAAACUCCUACGGGAGGCAGCAGUGGGGAAUAUUGCACAAUGGAGGGAACUCUGAUGCAGCGACGCCGCGUGAGCGAUGAAGGAAUUCGUUUCGUAAAGCUCUGUUCUAUGGGAAGAAAAGGACUGUACCAUAGGAGAAAGCCCCGGCUAAAUACGUG
rnacentral:rRNA from 1 species